GUUGGCCACCGAGCACUUGAGCCUGACCUCCGCCGGAGUCCACCAAUGCUUUGGGCGUAUGUUCCCCAUCUUAACCAUGGCCCUCACGAAGUCGGCGAAGAACACGUCGCCGUUCAUGGCGUACGUCUUCACCAGGUCGCCGGUCUCGCACCCCUGGGUGUAGAGCUCCUGGUCGGAUGUGAGGAGCCCGCGCCUCGCAAGCAAGUCGAUGUAGUAGGCGUUGUCGAACUUGGCCGGCGUCCGCUCGUCGAACGGCGCAGUGGCGUUGCCGUGCUUCUGCUCGCAUUCCUGCCGGCGUUGCGCCGCGAAGGAUGGGUCGAUGCUGUCGCCGCCCUGGCCGACGCGGCUGUAGAUGCGGUCGUCGUAGUUCUUGCAGUCAUGUGCCAUGCCGACGGUGUGCGCACCGGAGAGCGCGGUGAGGUCGCGUUCGUCGAGGCCGUUCUUCUCGAACAUCCUGAUGAGUUCGGCCAGGCUGUCUUUCGGGUUCGGGAGAUCCUUGUUGGCCAUGUCUAUGCUGGCGGUGAGGGAGUCCUUGCGGCCGAGGAGCACGCCCCAGCUGGGCCCGCUGAGCAUCGCGACGGCGUCGCGGGCGGCGAGCGCGAGAACAUCGGCGCAGGAGACGGUGGCCGGGCAGCUGCGCUCGAGCUCGGACUUGAUGCCGUCGAUCACGUCGAAGCCGGCGAGGGUGGCGUUGGGCUCGGCAUCCUUCUCGCUCUCCAUGGAGUCCGUAGCGUUCAGAAGGAUGGAGGCAUCACAACCCUGCAAUGCAUGUCACCGAUGAUUGUUAGACAAAUUAAGCAUUCGUGAUUCUUCUAAUGGUGGCCUCCUCAUACGAUCGAGAGACGGCACUGAUGAUACUUGUCAUCGGUGCCGGUUCUAGAACAUGUUUUGAGGUCAAAACCGAUACUUAUAUGGUCCUAAUAGGUGCCGGUUUUUUAUGGCAAGACAAAGGUGUCGGUUUUUGUCUAGAACUGGUACCUUUGUCUUGUCAUAAAAAACCGGCACCUAUGUGUAGGGCCCACCAUCAGACUUAAAAAGCACUAUUGAAAUAAAGGUGCCGAUUUUUUGUCGAGAACCGGCACAUUUGUCUUGUCAUAAAAAAAAACCAGCACCUAUGUAUAGGGCCCACCAACGGCUAGUGUGGGAGGGAGAAGAUUAAAGGUGCUGGUUUUGGGUCUAGAACUGGCACCUUUCACUAACACAAGUUUUAGGUGCGGUUUUAUUUAAAAACCAGCACCUAUUUGAACAUAAAGGUGUCGGUUUUGAAUAUUUAGCGCGUGGGGGUGGGUGCAUGGGUGGAAAAGGCAUUAUAGGUGCCGGUUUUUGGUGUGUCGGCACGUAUAGUGGCGACACCUAUUUGCCUUUUUAUAUUAGUGACAUCGCCACUGGACGGACGCGUGCUAGAUUUUGAUCGAAACAUAUAUCGUCGGAAUAUAUGAAUUAUACUGUCCACAUCUCUUAAUUAUUUUGUUAAGCAGGGACCUAAUCAUUUGGUGACUUCUCAAGUUCUGAUUCGAUGCAUGCAUCAUCUGUAGUUAUUAUUCAAGAAAAGGAACUCGCGCGGUGAUGACCGAUCGAUCCUUGAUCUAUUCCAAGUCUCCAACGAGGCAGGUGGACAAGGACUGGUUUUCACUAAAAAAUAAUAAUCUUUGAUGGUGAGGCGAGUUCUUAUUUGGAAUUAUAUUAAUAAAUUAAGCUGCAAGCACGUAUCUGUAGCUUUCUUUGUCCGAAAUAGAUCGAGCUGAUUAUUUGGACCACCGCGUAAGAAUUCAUGCGAUGAACAUUCCGAAUGCUGAAUGCCUGUGUUUGAGUUUUGAAAGGUUCUGAUCACGGUCACACAGUUACUGUGAUGAAUUCGUACAUGGAUUCAUAUUCGGAAUAAGUUCACUUUGUGACCCUCAAAAGUGAUCGAAAUCUAAUCCGUGAUCCUAGACCACAAAACCGGAUAUUUCAACCCCAAACACUUAAAACCGGUGCAAUUUAAUUCCCCUUACGGUUUUGGAGGUGGUUUUGAUGACGUGGCGCCCAUGUGGCGGUAUUCACCGGAUCUCCCUUACACGUGGGGUUGACGUCGUGUUUAGGUGGCAUGUAGAAUAAAAAAAUAUGUGUGGGGCCCAUUUGUCAUUGACACAUAAAAAGAAAUUGUGGGACUCACGUGUCCCUUCUCUCUGUCCCCUCCCUCCUUGCCGCUCCUCUCUCUCUCACGCGGCGGGCGGUGAGGGCCGGAGCAGCGGCGGGCGGAGACGGCGGCAAGUGGCGGAGGCGCGGGCAUGGUGUUGUGGCCUGCGAGAGGCAGAGACGAGGGAGUGGCGGCAGCAGGCACUGGAGCGGUGACAGCGGCGGCGCCCGGGCUGAGCUCCACUGCCUCCUCACUGUAACACCCCGAUUUUCGUUCGGGAUUAAAAAUUAUUAAAUAAUGCAUUUUCUAGAAAUUAUAUUAAAAGUUAAAGCAAUUUAAUCAAGUGAAUUAUAGAGGAAAUUAAAAAUUUCCUUUAAAAAUCAUGGCCGGGAAUAUUUUAUAAUAUUCUUUAUGCCCUAAAAUACUCUCUGAAAUUUCCCGCGAAUUUUCGGAGCUCAGGAAGUAAUAUUUUUAAAGUUACAAAGUUUGUUUAAUCAAUUUAAAUAAAAAGAAAAACCAAACAAAACCCCUCCCCUCCUCCCUUUGGGCUUGGCCCAGUCCUUCCUCCCUGUCGGGCCGGCCUCCCUCCUCUCUCCUCCCUCAUUCAGGCCGGCCCAGCUCGCUCCCCUCCCCUCCAAAGGUCACAUAACCCCCCUCCCUUCUCCCCCUCUGGCCGACAUGUGGGACCUGACAUGUCAGCUUCUUCCCCAACCUCCAGCCCGGGCCAGCAACCGCCAUGGCCGCCCGAGCCGCCCACAUAGCCGCCGAUUCCAGCCCUCCCGCUCGCGCCAUCGCGCCCAAACCGAGAGGGAUCGGAUCCCCUCCACUCCUCCACUCAAAUCCCCCACUCUCCCCGAGAAAAUCGGCGAUGAGCCGAUCCACUCACCCACAUCACCAGAGUCCCACGCCGCCGCCCGUUGCCGCCCCGUCCGGCCACGUUCUCCCCUCCCCGAGCCUAUAAAAAUGCUCCUCGCACCACCCUCUCCCAUUUUCCCAGUUUUCCCGAGCUCCCCGCGCCUUCCACCACUCUUCCUGUGCCAAUCCCCAUCGCCGUCGCUUGCCGGCGCCCUCUGGCCGCCCGCCACCACUGCUCUAGCUACGCCCGCACUCCACCGCUGCCACCAUCGGCAUCGCUGUGCCAAGCUCCACCCCGGCCCAUACUCCAUUCUCCCUCUCCACCUCCGAAACGCCGCCGCCACGCGCACCACCUCUCUCCGCCGCUACCGCCGACUCCAGCUGCGCGCCACUGCCGCCCUGGUCAUCGCCACUCUGCGCCGCCGCCACCACUAGCUCCGCAGCCCCUCCCCACACAACGGCCGCCCCUUUAUUUCCCCGAAUCACCACCGCAAUCACCCCUUCACCAUGAACCCGAGCUCCACCACCUCCCGUCGCGUCCAUCCGCACCUUGCCACCACCCCUAACCACCCCGCACAGCACUGAGGCUGUCGUCGACAUCACCGUGCCGAGCACCACCCCAGCAUCCGCUUUGCUUCCCCAGAUCGCCACUGCAACCACCCCUCUGCCGCGAACCCCUCCCCAGAUCGAAGUGAAGAUGCAAGGCAAGUCACACAUUCCCCUUGAGCAUGUUGAUCCCGAUUUAUAAAUGAUUUACCAUUUGCAAAUAAAUAUGCAUGUUUUGCUAAUUACAUGGGAUCAGGGUAUAACCUAUCUGCUUGCUUGUGCUAUGUUUAGUUGUUACCCGUCCUUUAUCAACCCUAGGUGAUAAUUUAUCUAGCUCGUGAUACUUAUGUUGAUCUAGCUAGAAUUAUAUAUGCUUAGCCAUGCUUAAUUACCACUAGCUCACAUAAUGGGAUAAUUAUAGUGUUAGACCUUUUAGUAUCAUGACGAGCUGCGUGUUCGAGACACCCGACCAUGUUUCAUAGGUCGUAAUUAUCCAACUAAAAUUCGACUGAAUGGUGGGCUGUGGGUGCAUGGUUUUGCUAGUCGCACCCAUGGCAAUUAAGGACCAGUUCAUGGGAAACCAUGGAAGACUUACAGUGCUUGCAAGCGAUCGGUCUUGGACAACUUGCCUCCAGAUCUUCCUGCGAAGGUAAAAGCAGAAGCAAUGGCAUGGAGAUUGAUGUUAACUCUAUCCUCUCCGAUUAGGACUUUGUAUAUCACCUAAUCCGUAGAGAUAUUUUCCAUAAUUCGUGACAGAUUCCUACAACGCAUACGGAAACAACCCGUGUACGUGAAGGUAUACCAUACUCGUAUAUUCUAUAAGUUGUAGGGUAGGAGAUAUGCCUUAUCCAUAACCAUAACACAAACGGAAGUUUCACAAGAGAUUUAACAUGUUGCUUAUUUUCCUAUGCAAUUGACCAUAGGAAUUGUCGAUGUUUUAUAUCAGCAAGAAGUAUACGAGACCUAAAAGUGAAUGGAUAUAAGACCUAAAAGUGGACGGAUGUGGAAGACAAGGGCUUAGACAGGUUCAGACCCUCUCGAUGAGAGGUUGUCCUCUACUCCUAUCCAGUUUGGUGGAUUGAAUUUGUCAGAUUGUAUUAAUCAUGUGAUAUUAGGUUUUUAUCUGGUUGCCCUUGAGGGAGCCCCCUACCUACCUUAUAUGUUGGGGAGAAGGUUAUAGAGAGGAAAAGUUAGCCGGAUACUACUUCAGUUUCCUAAUAUAUAAAUGGUAGUAUUCAGCCGGGGCUUUAUGCCCUGUUUAAGGAUACAAGACAACAUAGUGACCGAGUCCUACUCUAUUAUAUAUUAAAUGGAUCCAACCUCUGUAGUCAAAUAUGUAGGCCAUGUAGAUUCCCGGUACCCAUAACCUUCAUAGGAAUGCAUUUCAAUGAAAUUUUCUAUUAUCUUCCUGUGAAUCAAAUGGUUCAAUUAAUUAUCUAAUUUACGAUUCAAUUAUAUCAUUGUAUUCCUUAUAAUUAAAUAUUUAUAACACGAUCUCACAUGAUUAUACUUUGAUUAAAAAAUUAACGUUGUUUCACUGGAAAUUUGUUCCCCCUUUGUCAAAACGUUUCAACUCACAAUGUAAAAUGUAUGAGAAAAAUAAAACAUUCAAAGAUACUAACUGCAGCACUAACAACAACUAUAUGAAACACUAAUUGCCAACGAGCAAAACAUACAAAAAAAACAUAUAAAAAUACCAUAUUUUGCAAAAACAUGAUAAUGUUGAAAAGUUUUAAUAUCAUAUUCAAAACAUUAAAUAUUGAAACAUUAUAAAAUACUUACUAUAAAAUUCGAAUAAUAUCAUACAACAUUUACAAAUUAACUAGUAUUGAAAUAUCAUAAGAUAUCAACUGAAACAUUUAAAUAAAACACAUUAAAAGAAAUAAACUAAAAAACUAAUUACUACAAGUGUGGUCUUGUUAUAAAAAGAUUUAAUUACACAGAAUUUAUUGAUGUGAUCCGCUCAUAGAAUACAGAAGUAAUUUGAAAGAAAACAUUAUUUAAAAAUGAGUACUCUUUAAAAAAAUUAUUUAUUGAUGUGAUGUUGCAUUGUGCAUGAGUGGUUGAACAUUCAAGGCAAAGUGAUCUCCCAUACAUUAUAAAAAAAUGAAUAAAAAAAUUGAGGUACAAAAGAAAAAUACAUCUUACAGUUUAAUGCACAAUUAAAUCGAAAGGAAAUAUCACACUUAUAAAUGAGUGCAACAUAAUUGUGUUGUACUCAACAGUAUGAGCAUCAAUAAUGUGUGUUGGCCACCGAGCACUUGAGCCUGACCUCCGCCGGAGUCCACCAAUGCUUUGGGCGUAUGUUCCCCAUCUUCACCAUCGCUCUUGUGAAGUCGGCGAAGAACACGUCGCCGUUCAUGGCGUACGUCUUCACCAGGUCGCCGGUCUGGCAGCCCUGGGUGUAGAGCUCCUGGUCAGAGGUGAGGAGCCCCCGCCUCGCGAGCAGGUCGACGUAGUAGGCGUUGUCAAACUUGGCUGGCGUCCGCUCGUCGAACGGUGCCGUGGCCUUGUCGUGCUUCUGCU
rnacentral:lncRNA from 1 species